CUGAACACAUUGGCUUUUGCUGCUUUGGGCUUUUUUGGUUGGUUGGAAUUAUACCAUUUAAUGUGUACAUGGAAUCUUGUUAAUUUGGUAAUGCUAUAAAUUUGCAAAUAUUUUCUAGGUGAAUAUUGAAGAAAACUAAUCUUUAAUAGCUUAAAAAUUGGGUUACAUUAUGAAAAUUUUUAGAUUGAAUAAAUUUCAGGGCUGAACUAAUUUUAUUUAAAACCCUAUUUUUCCUUUUUACUUCAACAGUUGGUGACAUUUAUAGUAUAAAAUACACACACACACACACACACAGACUCACACAGAGUGUAUUUUAACUUUUUUUCUGGACCUUACAUUAUUGUUGUGGAAGAGUUGUCUGCUUACUAAUUUCUAAUGCUUUCCAACAUGAACAGUUGAAGUCAGCUAUUGACAAAAACCACCUAUGGUAGACGAGCAGCACCUCAGCUCUUAAAAUCUGGGCGGGCUGCAGAAAAUACACUCUUUUUUUUUUUUUUUUUUUUGUCUUUUUCCUUUUUAUCGGUACUGGGGACCGAACUCAUGACUGCCUGCUUGCAAGGCAGGCGCUUAUGCCGCUGAGCUAAAUCCCCAGCCCCAGAAAAUACACUCUUUAAGGAUGCACUUUUUCUCCUGUUGCCUACCUUCCCCCUCACGGUUCUGUCUCAGGGAACUUCCAGUGCUUGAAGUCAGCGCUGUCUUUAUAUUGGACCAGAUCCACUUUUGUUCUGGUGCAGAAGUAAUGUGGUAGCUAGAAAAGUCCCUGAGCAAUAAGUUACCAGGGUCUGUUCCACAAUUAGGAAGGAUCUCUGUGUUUGUAAAUAGCCAUGAUUUCUAGCAGCAUUAUAGAGGAGGUUUUCAUUUACGUUGUGAUCUUAGGUGUCUUAGUCUUGCUUACCCCAAAUAAUAGUUGUAGUAUAUACUGUACCUUUUUUUUUUUAAAGAUAGCCAAAGCUAAGUUUUAUUGUAGUCAUGUUGUUAGUAUAAAUUGUUUCCUUUGUCUUUUUGCCACUACAUACAAGAUUUUCAUUCUUAACAGAUAAAUUUAGUGCUUUGGUAUUGUGCAUAAAUUGUAAAUAAAACAGUAAGCAUUGUGUGAUGUAUGCAUUGUAGCUUUGAUUUGCUGUUCUUGACCCCACUCUCUCCUGACUUUUCACUGUGUCCAACUUAUUGCCAUAUCCUAUUUACUUCCUUCCUGUGUCUGGACUGUGUCCAUUCUGUGUAAUUGCCAAUCCCUUGGGUUUGGUCAUUCUUGUCUCUCAAGUGUUUUACAAAAAUGCUCAUCUCAACUGGCUGCUCUGCCUUAUUUUACUGAGAUAUCUUAAUUUAUUUAAUGUUUGAAAAGUGAAUAGUUAUGCUGCUUUAAUCUUUGAUUUGAUAAUUCUACAGUGAGUUGUCAGUCUUGUAAGUAAUGUCAUUUACCAAGUUUAUCUUGUGGUUCAUAAAAGUUGGUACCAGUUACAUUGGAUUAGUCAUGCAUUGGAGUGUCUGCUUUCUUUCACACUAAUACAUAUGAAGUGAAAUAAUUUUUACUAAUACAGGAAUUAUUGUUAGUAAAGAUUAAAACUAUGUAGGAGCAGUGUCUUUUUUAAUGUUAGUAUUUUAAAAACUAUCAAUAAAUAUAGAAGUAAAAUAGGUAAAACAAGUUUUUGGGUCAGUAUAUGUAAAAUUUAGCCAUUUGUAAACAGCACCAUGGAGUGGAGGGCUCUGAUCUGAGCUCACCCACGCAGCAGUCAUGUGCCUCUUGCUGAAACAUGCUGACACCAUCUUGUGAAUUUUCUCAACAUGAAAAUGAAGUGGUUUUACUAAAAAUCUAUGGUUCCUUUGUUAUAAGAUAGUCCUCCCCUCUUAACUUCCUCCUGGCAGGGGUACUUCUUUGUUUUCUCACUAUUGAAGUCAUUUUUCUUCACCUGUUGAAGCCUUCUGGGAACUUUGGCACUUACUUCAGGGCAGAAUAGAAUCAGGAACAGAACUAGGAACAAAACAGCAACAGAACAGAACAAUUGGCAAUUCUUUAUGGAACCUUAGCAUCUUGGCAAUAGCAAUUCCAUCAGGUCAAUGAUUACAUUAUUGUUUUGCUUUCCUAAGUCCUUCAUUGAGGGUAGGGGCUAUAUCUUGUUUGUCUUUUUAUCCUUAGUGUCUGGCAUAGCUGUAACUCAGCAAAUGUUUGUCAAAUGAAUGUUUAGCAACUAAAUCUAACCAGUACCAAUGGAAACAUGAUAUGAUCACAGAUUUUUGCUUUAGAUAUGGAGGCGUUUUAUUAAUUUGUGUAAUGUCUAUUUUAUAGACACAUGGAAACAGUUUUCAUGGCAGACAGAAUAAGAGUAUAUACCAGGUCUUAUGAGCGAGAAACAAUAUGUUUGUGUGGAGCAUUUUGUUUGCAGUUCUGGUUUGGGGCAUACAUUUUUUUGAGCCAAAACAAAAAUGAACAAUGAAUUUUUGCAUUGGCAGAUAAUGAGAGAUUGAGUUUUGAGUUGAUGAAUUUAGUAUUGGAGUUGGAUCUGCAGGGCAUGAGCCUCUGUCAGGGACAUCUUAAAAUAGCUGCUUGAUUGUAUCGUUUAUUUGUCAGAAUGAGUUAUUUAUCCAUAUCCUAAUGCGUAUCCAAUUGGAGACCCUGAAGAGUACUGUAUGAAAUGGUGUUCCAUAUUCUCCAGUUAUUUUUAGUUUUAAGCUGAAAACUAGAGAAUACUAUUUUCAGGGACUUACAUUGUUCAAACUAAACAUUUUUAUAUGAAGGCAUAAUACAACAUAUGCCUCUUUAAAUUUCUUUUUUUUUUAAAAUUUUGGAAACCGUGAGUUUUCUACUAACCUAGUAAUUCUAGAAUGCUUUUUAAUUGCUGUUGGUAAAUAAAUAAAACAACUUCACAAAUAGCUAAACCACUUAAUACUAUCUUUACUAUUAUGUUUCACUGGAUAUGCAUCUGUACUUUUAAAUUUGCUGCUAGCUUAUUUGAAACUCUGAUUGUCUUUUUUUUUCUAGUAGUGGAGGUUAAAUCUGGAGCCUUCAUACUAAGCUACAUUCCCAGCCUUUUUAACUUUUUAUUUCUUUUAAAAUUUUGAGACAGGGUUUUGCAAAGUCACUGAGUUGCCCAGAGUGGGUUUUAGUUUAGAAUUUGCCUGCCUUAAGCUCCCAGAGUGUUGGGAUCGUAGAUAUGUACCACUAGGUAAACCAUUCUCCUCCCACUGCUCUCUCACCUGCCCCGUCAUUUAACUUCUCUUCUGUAAAUGUGAUAAUGAAAUUCUAUAUUUAUUUUCCUUUUUCCAUAUAUCCAAAGCCUCUGAAUUUUUAAUUUUGAUUUUUUCUAUACAAAUGAAUGGAAAUAGAUGACUACCGAGAGAAAACUGGUUUCUUAAUUUAGUAAAUUAUAAUCUACUUAGUUUUGGAAAGUUCUGUUUAAACUUUUAGAAAUCAUAUUUUUGGUGAGGGCUCAGACCAGGACCUUCAGUUGCUUGCUGAAUGUGAAUUAAUUCUUAUAGAUACCUCAUAUUCGUGACUUAAUCUGAAUUCCUCUUCAGAUCAAUCAGUUUCUUUCUCAGGCUUGAGAUGUUGUACUCACUGUUGACUGCCUUUUCUCUUUCUUCUUGUGGCCAGGUGAUAGAAUUGGUAGAAUAUUAUAGUGUCUCUCCUUCUCUGUCUUCUUUCAUCCCCAUUGCUGUUAUCUUUAACUCAUGCCUGUGCUGGUCCAGUCAUCUCUUGUUUCACUUCUGUAGUCUUUUGGGGGUUGAAUAAUCUAAAUGCCCUAAUUCAGUGGCUGUACUUUGUUGUUAAAAAUGUAAAAGACUAUUGUCUUUUUCAGUAAAUCACACUUGAUUUCUUGAUUAUUACAAAAAUUGGGGCUGAUUGAUUGAUUGCAGGGAUUCUUGGUGGCAAACCUAGUGUGUCUUAGCACUUACCUGAAUAUUGCAGUGCAUUCUAUUAGGUACAGUUAGUGGAUGUAUAACUGGUAAGACAAAAUAAUUUCCUCCCUAACCUCUUACUGAGAAUAAUUUAAAAAUACUACACCAGGAAAAGAACAAAAAAGUAAAGAAGGGUAAGACCAAGCUCUGGGAGAAGGAAACUCCUAGAGCAGGAGAUCCUAACAGUUGAGCCACUUCUUUAGUAGGGUCAUUCAUUUCUUCUGGAAUGGGAGGGAGGCGAGGGCAGUUAACCCAGGAGUAGUAAGACUAACAAGCUAUUGACUGGUCUUUACUUGAACUCUUACUUGACCCUACCAGAAGCAAAAGUAAAUUCUCUCAGGAGAAAGGUAACAUUAGCCAGGCAUGCAUUUGUCUAGUAAUUUUUUGUAAACAGUGUCUGGAACUUAAAUCAGAAAUAACUAGUUCUAUUAGGAGAUUUAGGUGAUCAUAAAGUCAAGAGAAAUGAGAGAUAAGAAUUAAAUAAGAUACUGAGAAAAUUAAUCAGCAAUAGUCUCUCACUUUAAAGAAACAAUGAAACUUUUUCUUCAGUUGGAAAAUGUUCCUGCUGAAAACCUGAGAUUAAGGUAGGAAUGAAGAAUAACAGAAAAGAUAAAUAUGUGAGUACUGAACAAUAAUAGUAAUUUCUUGAAGAAUAUUACAAAAAUAUGUAGUUUGAUAUGUAGGUGGCAAGCAGUAAGUUGGUUUAAAAUGUUCUAAGGCCCUUGCAUUAUUCAAAUAGUACCAAAGUACUAAUUUAUUUUAGACUAUGCUAAGACAAGGAGAAUGGGAAUGGAAAAAGAAAAUGUCAUUAACAAGAUAUUACAGGGAGAAAAUGGAAUAAUUUAAAAGUAAAGAGACUCAGAAAAGAUAGAACAAGAUACAGAGAACAGAUAGAAUAAAGAGAAACGAAGAGAACAGAUCUCAACCUCUGUGUGUCUGUUAUUGUUGGAAAUGUUAAAGACUUAGUGCUGCAUUGAAAAAAGAAGCAGUAUCCGCACUGGAUGAGUGCUGCAGCACUACCUAUUGUUGCUGACAAGAGGCGCAGCAUGAAGAUACAUAGUAGGAUACAGAAAACUGAAAGUAAAUAAUAGAAAAAGUUAUACAAGCAUUAACCAAAAGAAAGAUGAUAUAGCUGUACCAAUACCAGGAAAAGUAAAGAGAACUUUUUGUGAUAGAUGGUUCAGUAACCACGAAGAUAACAAUUCUAAAUUUGUAUGUACCUAAUGACAUAGCCAUAAAAAUUAACAGACCCAAGAGGAGAAAAACAUGCAUCCAAAAAUCAUAAUGAGAUUAAGACAGCUCUCUCUGUAACUGAUUGAAUAAGCAGAUGAGACAGAUAAGUAAAAACCAGUAGUCUAGAAGAUUUGAACAUGGUUAAUGAACUUGACUUACUUUAAACUCUGUACUUUUUUUUUGGUACUGGGGAUCGAAUUCAUGGCUGUGUGCUUGCAAGGCAGGUGCUUAUGUCGCUGAGCUAAAUUCUCAGCCCCAAACUCUGUACUUAUUAAUUGUAGGCUAUGUGUUCUGUUGCAGUAAACCUAGAUAAUUUUCAAAAACCACUGUAUAUGCUGCUCAUAAUGUGAGUCCUAAUACAUUUCAGGGAACUUAAAUUAUAAAAAAAAAUGUUCUCUGAGUUGUAACGGUUAAAUUAGAAAUCAGCAAAAGAUGACCCACAAAAGUUCUGUAUGCUUGAAAAUGUGUUACAAAAGCUCAUGUGUGAGAGUGGAAAUCAUAGUGGAAAUAAGUAUGUGUUUUGAGCUGAACGAUAAUAUGUCUCAGGCAUUGUGGAAUUUAACUAAAAUCUCUUAGGGAAAUUUAAAACCCUAAAAUACAUAUAUUACAAAAUAAAGUCUGAAUUACCAUUUAUGGCUUUAACAUUUAUCCUAGGAAAUUAAAAAAUAGCUAUGGAGCCCAAAUAAAGAAAUUAAAUCACAGUCUGUGCUAAUGGACUGCUGGAAGGUAAAGAACUCUUCAGGGAACUGUGCCGUGGUACAAAGCAGAGUAAGGAACGCGCUGUGUUUGAGUGAAGUAGUGACCCCAGCUUGGUAUGGGAGUGACAGGAAGGCAGUAUUGGCAAAGGGGCGUUGUGAGGAAGGAGCUGAGAAAACUGUGAGCAAAAGCUGCCCUGUGGAGAAAUUUUGAUGUGGGUAAGAAGAGUGGGUGGAUUAUAAAGCAUUCCAGGGAAAUUGGGGGAAAAAAAAGACUGAAGUUGAUAGGAACCAAAUUGUAGAAGCCCUUAAAUGCCAGGCGUUAGAUCUUAGAAGAUUGAUGUGGUUAAGGGAUAUAAAAAGAUGGAUUGGAGAAGAAGAGAAUGAGAUGUGGGGAAAUAGUGAUUGUGGUACACUAGGUGAGUUAUAGAUCCACAGUCCCUUAUCCGCAAUUCUAAAAUCCAACAAAAGCUUUGAAAAGGCAAUGUCUUUUUAUAAAUGUAAUGCCAAAACACACGUGGUAGUAAAACUCGAUAUAAAUGUAUGUGAGGAACUUAAUUGGAAACAUUCCUAUAUAGCACUUUCCUCCCAGAAAUGUCAGUGUGGUGUUGUUGACUCUACUGAGUCUUUUGUGUAAUAUAUGCUAUAUGUGCCGUAGUAUUUUCUAAAUUUGAAGAGGUCUGAAUCAAGCCAGGAAUCUUGAAGUAGAACAGGAGAUGAUAAUGAAAAAGAGAAGCCAUCGACUAUGACACAUUGCCGAUGUUAAAGAAGUAGUACAAGGCCAAGUAACUUACUAAGUAAUAACUUCUGCAGUUUAAAGAGAGAGGUAGGGUGAGAGUAUUCAAAGCUUAUUUUGGUUCCAGUAGAAAUGUUAGAAUUUUAUUAGCAGAGGCUUGAGGAGGGAAAGGAGAAUAAAAGUGGUUUUAGAGGGUUUAAUUCAACGGAGAGUUGCCAGGUAAUGCCAUGUGAAGGGCACAAAAAAAUUAUGAUGUGGAUUGAUUCUUGAGCACUUUUUUUUAGAGGGAAAGUAUAAUGGGAAGAGUGAUAGGAUAGACUGUAAAAUGAGUUACAAGUCUUGCUGAUUUUUCCGCUUGUGCAUUAUUUCAGACUUAUCCCUUCCCUCCUGCUUUAAAUUCUUUUGAAUAGCUGUCUGGACAGUAGCCAGCUUCCCUCCCAAUUUCCCUGGGACACCUGGUAAUCGAUCCUUGUACAGUAUUUUGAACUUGCACUUCCCCCAGUCCAUUUUGUUGUUCUCAAACUUUGGUACUUAUUUUCUUAACUUUUGACGCUCCAUUUACUGAAGAACAGACAGUGCUCCUUAACAAAGAUGUCAAGAUUCUUCAUAGUCUUAACUCAGGAUCGAACUCAUGACUACCUGCUUGCAAGGCAGGCGCUUAUGCCGCUGAGCUAAAUCCCCAGGCCCCGUUAUUGAUUUCCUAUUAUGUUGUUUUGAAGUUCUGUAUUGCCUUGCCUUGUUUUGAUUGGCUUUAUUCUGUUGUACUUUGUUUGGUUUUAUUCUCUUUAAAAUUAAAAAUAAGUGGCAAGAUUGAUGGGAUAAGUGUGUUCAAUGUAAGAGGGAAUAUUUUGAAUAGGAUUAAUGGCAGUGUGACUUUCUGUAAUUUUUAGAAUUUAAGCAUUCACUAUAUUUUAUGCUCACACUUCAUAUUAAAUCUCGUCUUUUUGUUAAAGCAUUUUAUUGAUAUUUUAAAAGUAUAUUUCAGUGGUAUUUAAUAAAUUGACUUAUUUAAAAGAAUAA